UACGGAGGGUGCAAGCGUUAUCCGGAUUCACUGGGUUUAAAGGGUGCGUAGGCGGGCAGGGAAGUCCGUGGUGAAAUCCUCAAGCUUAACUUGAGAACUGCCGUGGAUACUCUCUGUCUUGAAUACCGUGGAGGUGAGCGGAAUAUGUCAUGUAGCGGUGAAAUGCUUAGAUAUGACAUAGAACACCAAUUGCGAAGGCAGCUCGCUACGCGGAUAUUGACGCUGAGGCACGAAAGCGUGGGGAUCAAACAGG
rnacentral:rRNA from 1 species